rnacentral:misc_RNA from 1 species
GGAAGAACGUAGCGAAAUGCGAUACUUGGUGUGAAUUGCAGAAUCCCGUGAACCAUCGAGUCUUUGAACGCAAGUUGCGCCCGAAGCCAUUAGGCCGAGGGCACGCCUGCCUGGGUGUCACACGUCGUUGCCCCCCCAUCUACUCCUUCGGGAUUGCGGGGGGCGGAUGAUGGCCUCCCGUGCGCCUCGUCGCGCGGUUGGCAUAAAUGCCAAGUCCUCGGCGACGCACGCCACGACAAUCGGUGGUUGCGAAACCUCGGUUGCCCGUCGUGUGCGGUCGUCGCGCAUCGAGGGCUCGAAAAAAUUGCCGGGCUCCGGCUCGGCUUUCAACGCGACCCCAGGUCAGGCGGGGUUACCCGCUGAAUUUAAGCAUAUCAAUAAGCGGAGGA